rnacentral:rRNA from 1 species
UACGGAGGGGGCGAGCGUUAUUCGGAAUUAUUGGGCGUAAAGAGCUCGUAGGCGGCUUGUCACGUCGGGUGUGAAAGCCCGGGGCUUAACCCCGGGUCUGCAUUCGAUACGGGCUAGCUAGAGUGUGGUAGGGGAGAUCGGAAUUCCUGGUGUAGCGGUGAAAUGCGCAGAUAUCAGGAGGAACACCGGUGGCGAAGGCGGAUCUCUGGGCCAUUACUGACGCUGAGGAGCGAAAGCGUGGGGAGCGAACAGG